CGCGUAGGCGGUAAUGUAAGUCAGACGUGAAAUCCUUCGGCUCAACUGAAGAACUGCGUCUGAGACUGCAUGACUAGAGUGCAGAAGAGGGAAACGGAAUUCCAGGUGUAGAGGUGAAAUUCGUAGAUAUCUGGAGGAACACCGGUGGCGAAGGCGGUUUCCUGGUCUGACACUGACGCUGAGGCGCGAAAGCGUGGGGAGCAAACAGGAUUAGAUACCCUGGUAGUCCACGCCGUAAACGGUGGGUACUGGGUGUGGGAGGUGUAAUGCCUUCUGUGCCGAAGCUAACGCGUUAAGUACCCCGCCUGGGGAGUACGGCCGCAAGGUUGAA
rnacentral:rRNA from 1 species